UACGAAGGGUGCAAGCGUUAAUCGGAAUUACUGGGCGUAAAGGGUGCGUAGGCGGUUGUUUAAGUCUGUCGUGAAAUCCCCGGGCUCAACCUGGGAAUGGCGAUGGAAACUGGGCAGCUAGAGUGUGUCAGAGGAUGGUGGAAUUCCCGGUGUAGCGGUGAAAUGCAUUGAGAUCGGAAAGAACACCAACGGCGAAAGCACUCUGUUGGGCCGACACUGACACUAAGAGACGAAAGCUAGGGGAGCAAAUGGG
rnacentral:rRNA from 1 species